UUGAUAGUAAAUAAUAAAUAAAGGAAGGUAAUUCAAUAAUAAUUAUUAUUAAUUUAUGAUGGCUACCAAAUGUUUUAUGAAAAAAAAAGUAAACGUUAAUAGAGUAUAUUAUUGUCAAAUGAUUGUGAUCGAAAGUAUUAAGGUAUUUGAUAUAGACUGAUUCCUAUGGACGUAAAAAAACCAACGACGAGGAUACGAGAUUGCUUUUCUAUACAAUAAUAAUACAGAAUGUCAGAAUCUGAGUAUAGAAAGUUUUUGCCCAAUUAAAUACUGUUUUUGAUGGCUAAAAAUAACUGAGCAACGAUAAAGUAAAUAAUAUUUAUAUAAUAUGUAGGUAAUGUAUGUUUUUAGGGGACGUAAUGCUAACAUAGGGGAUGUAAUGCUAACGCAGUCUCCUCUCCGGUUCUCAAUACCACGAGGGAAAAAAAAAAGGCAUUGGUUCCAUUGUUUUGAAGUACCUAUAAGAACACAGAAGUCAUCUUCGAAUAAGAAAAAUCAAUGGUUAUUCACCUACCAUCAUAAAUUCAUACCAUACAAAAAUUGAAGCAGUUAAAUGUGAAGUUAAGGAACAGAUCAAAAUACAGAAUAUUAUUCAAGGAUUUCCAUUUCUAAACUAUGGAGAAUCAGUAGCACUCAGAGUUAACUAAAUAUUAUAAAUACUGAUUAUUAUCAUUAUUAUUCUAAAUGUAUUAAUGUUUGUAUGUAUUGUCAAUUUAUGUGACACAUAAAUUGACUAUGCAUACGGGCAUAAAAAUGUUCAUUAAAUUGUAAAUUGUAUAUAACUCUAGACCUAAGCUAACUAAGGUCUAUGUCACAACCAGUGGCGGACUGAACUUUAAUUUUAAAUGAUGCAUUUUCAUAAUUAAGUACUUACCACCACCACCACCACCCUAUUUUUACUUAUAACAAAGUUAUGAUGUAAAUAAAAUGUAAUCAAAAGAGCCAAGAGGUCAGGCUGUAGCAUGUAAUUCUGCGCCACAGUCAUGGAGUGGCACCACCCCCUUUGAAAAGUUGUCGCAACUGCAUCAAAAUUGAGCGCUUCAGCUCGCAACUGGUCACAACCCAAGUUUAUUUUUUAUUCCAAAUUAUGGUAAAAGUUUAUUUUUCUAAAGAGAUUUUAUAAUCGUAAAAACUCCAUAGUCUUGGAUUUGUGUUUUAUUCCACAGUGUAUUUAUACCUAAAAUGUUUUUAUAUUAAAGAAAUAAUUUAUGAUUAUUAUUUUAU